rnacentral:rRNA from 1 species
GACGAACGCUGGCGGCGUGCUUAACACAUGCAAGUCGAACGAUGAACCGGAGCUUGCUCUGGGGAUUAGUGGCGAACGGGUGAGUAACACGUGGGCAACCUGCCCCAGACACCGGGAUAACCAUUGGAAACGAUGGCUAAUACCGGAUACGACCACUUCGGGCAUCCGAUGGUGGUGGAAAGGAUUCUGGUCUGGGAUGGGCCCGCGGCCUAUCAGCUUGUUGGUGGGGGAAUGGCCUACCAAGGCGACGACGGGUAGCCGGCCUGAGAGGGCGACCGGCCACACUGGGACUGGGACGCGGCCCAGACUGCUACGGGAGGCAGCAGUGGGGAAUAUUGCGCAAUGGGCGAAAGCCUGACGCAGCGACGCCGCGUGAGGGACGAAGGUCUUCGGAUUGUAAACCUCUUUCAGCAGGGAUGAAGCGAAAGUGACAGUACCUGCAGAAGAAGCACCGGCUAACUACGUGCCAGCCGCCGCCGUAAAAC